AUUGAACGCUGGCGGCAGGCCUAACACAUGCAAGUCGAGCGGAGCGGCGGUCGGGUGAGUAAUGCCUAGGAAUCUGCCUGUUAGUGGUGGAUAACGUCCGGAAAUGGGCGCUAAUACCGCAUACUAUCAGAUUAGCCUAGGUCGGAUUGGCUAGUUGGUGGGGUAAAGGCCUACCAGGGCGACGAUCCGUAACUGGUCUGAGAGGAUGAUCAGUCAAACUGGAACUGAGACACGGUCCAGACUCCUACGGGAGGCAGCAGUGGGGAAUAUUGGACAAUGGGCGAAAGCCUGAUCCAGCCAUGCCGCGUGUGUGAAGAAGGUCUUCGGGUUGUAAAGCACUUUAAGUUGGGAGGCGUUACCAGCAGAAUAAGCACCGGCUAACUCCGUGCCAGCCGCCGCGGUAAUUC
rnacentral:rRNA from 1 species